UCCAUUGGUGGAAAAGACCUGCCGCAAAACAGGUAAUUUCACGUCGCGGAAAGAACGAGAACAUCUGCGAAACGUACAAAAGCCACAACUUGCAUUGAACAUGAUAAUUUAACCUUUACAAUGGUUAAUUUUAGCGCCUGUUUUUCAUUGGUCGAGAUCAUUUAGGCAGGAAAAAGAGCCAAUGGGAUGGGUUUUCGCGCUAUGAGACUCAGACGAAGGCGCAACUCUGAUCACUUGAGUCAUGCUAUCGGAGGGUGACGGGGCUCUUUGUGUCGCUAGGUGCUGGCCAAGCAAUUUAAAAGGACAGCUGCAGACUUGUUUGACAGACUGAAGAUGGCGGCAUCUGAUGGUCGUGAGCAAACGUCGAAGUGAAGGACGAUAGAGUGGAAUGACGAACAUGACGUGCG